GCUUAAUAUUUAUCUAUUUUUAUUUUAAAUUUUUAUUGUUUAAAUAUAUAAAAAUAAAAAAUAUUUUAUUGGGGUGAUAAGAAUAAUUAAUAAACUGUUCUAAAUUUAAACAAAGUUAUUUGAUAAAAUAAUAGAUCCUUUUCAGAGAUUAAAAGUUUAAGUU
rnacentral:rRNA from 1 species